rnacentral:rRNA from 1 species
GAUGAACGCUGGCGGCGUGCCUAAUACAUGCGAGUCGAGCGAACAGACGAGGAGCUUGCUCCUCUGACGUUAGCGGCGGACGGGUGAGUAACACGUGGAUAACCUACCUAUAAGACUGGGAUAACUUCGGGAAACCGGAGCUAAUACCGGAUAAUAUAUCGAACCGCAUGGUUCAAUAGUGAAAGACGGUUUUGCUGUCACUUAUAGAUGGAUCCGCGCCGCAUUAGCUAGUUGGUAAGGUAACGGCUUACCAAGGCAACGAUGCGUAGCCGACCUGAGAGGGUGAUCGGCCACACUGGAACUGAGACACGGUCCAGACUCCUACGGGAGGCAGCAGUAGGGAAUCUUCCGCAAUGGGCGAAAGCCUGACAGAGCAACGCCGCGUGAGUGAUGAAGGUCUUCGGGUCGUAAAACUCUGUUAUUAGGGAAGAACAAAUGUGUAAGUAACUAUGCACGUCUUGACGGUACCUAAUCAGAAAGCCACGGCUAACUACGUG